GAAGCGGCGCGGCCUACUCCGGUGUGUCCGCAGGGCUUACCCCUCCCUCCGUCUCCGCGCUGCUCUGCUCACCUCCUGCUUGGGACAGGAGAGGUAGUAUCUGUUGGUGCCUUGGACUCAGCCCAAUCAAUGUAGUAGUUUUGUGUGCCAGUCUUGCAAAUCUGUAUUUAAACCAUAGAAGGAUAUGGACCGACAUAUUCCUGUGCAUCCGCUACCUGAGGAAAUACGAAAGACAGGUGAACAGGCAGCAACAGGAAGAUGAGGAACAUCACCAGAGCCAGGAGUCUCCAGGGAUUGGAAUCAGGCCCCCUACUGGGGCUUGAUGAGCCUUGGCAGGUCUCCACGAUGCUGACCUCUGACUCAAUCCCUGGUUUGAAGCAAUGUCUAUA